CCGCUGUCCUAAUACACUCAAGUCCGACGUAUCCGGUCGUGAAUGCUGCUUCUCCUGAUGGUACGGCGUGACCGGUGUGAUUAACACCGUGGAUUUACCUUACCCGUAUUAAGCUGGGAUAACUUCGGAAACCGGAGCUAAUACCGGAUGAUAUUGUGAACCGCAUGGUUCAAAGGUGAAAGACCGGUCUUGCGUCACUUAUAGAUGGAUUCCGCGCUUGCAUUAGCUAGNUUGGUAAGGUAACGGCUUACCAAGGCAACGAGCAUGAGCCGACCUGAUGGGUGAUCGGCCACACUGGAACUGAGACACGGUCCAGACUCCUACGGGAGGCAGCAGUAGGGAAUCUUCCGCAAUGGGCGAAAGCCUGACGGAGCAGCGCCGCGUGAGUGAUGAAGGUCUUCGGAUCGUAAAACUCUGUUAUUAGGGAAGAACAUAUGUGUAAGUAACUGUGCACAUCUUGACGGUACCUAAUCAGAAAGCCACGGCUAACUACGUGCCAGCAGCCGCGGUAAUACGUAGGUGGCAAGCGUUAUCCGGAAUUAUUGGGCGUAAAGCGCGCGUAGGCGGUUUUUUAAGUCUGAUGUGAAAGCCCACGGCUCAACCGCGGAGGGUCAUUGGAAACUGGAAAACUUGAGUGCAGAAGAGGAAAGUGGAAUUCCAUGUGUAGCGGUGAAAUGCGCAGAGAUAUGGAGGAACACCAGUGGCGAAGGCGACUUUCUGGUCUGUAACUGACGCUGAUGUGUGAAAGCGUGGGGAUCAAACAGGAUUAGAUACCCUGGUAGUCCACGCCGUAAACGAUGAGUGCUAAGUGUUAGGGGGUUUCCGCCCCUUAGUGCUGCAGCUAACGCAUUAAGCACUCCGCCUGGGGAGUACGACCGCAAGGUUG
rnacentral:rRNA from 1 species